AGGGAGUUUGAUCCUGGCUCAGGACGAACGCUGGCGGCGUGCCUAACACAUGCAAGUCGAACGGAACUACUAGGAAGGAUCUCUUCGGAGAAACGGAAUUUUAGUUUAGUGGCGGACGGGUGAGUAACGCGUGAGUAACCUGCCUUUGAGAGGGGAAUAACGUUCUGAAAAGAACGCUAAUACCGCAUAACAUAUAUUGAUCGCAUGGUCGGUAUAUCAAAGAUUUUAUCGCUCAAAGAUGGACUCGCGUCCGAUUAGCUUGUUGGCGGGGUAACGGCCCACCAAGGCGACGAUCGGUAGCCGGACUGAGAGGUUGAACGGCCACAUUGGGACUGAGACACGGCCCAGACUCCUACGGGAGGCAACAGUGGGGGAUAUUGCGCAAUGGGGGCAACCCUGACGCAGCAACGCCGCGUGAAGGAUGAAGGUUUUCGGAUUGUAAACUUCUUUUGUCAGGGACGAAAUUUGACGGUACCUGACGAAUAAGCUCCGGCUAACUACGUGCCAGCAGCCGCGGUAAUACGUAGGGAGCAAGCGUUGUCCGGAUUUACUGGGUGUAAAGGGUGCGUAGGCGGCUAAGCAAGUCAGAUGUGAAAUCUAUGGGCUCAACCCAUAAACUGCAUUUGAAACUGCAUAGCUUGAGUGAAGUAGAGGCAGGCGGAAUUCCCCGUGUAGCGGUGAAAUGCGUAGAGAUGGGGAGGAACACCAGUGGCGAAGGCGGCCUGCUGGGCUUUAACUGACGCUGAGGCACGAAAGCGUGGGUAGCAAACAGGAUUAGAUACCCUGGUAGUCCCCU
rnacentral:rRNA from 1 species